AACUCGGCUCUUCUCAGAGCCACUCGGUUUCUCAACACUUUCAUC
rfam:Oreochromis niloticus linkage group LG20, whole genome shotgun sequence.